rnacentral:lncRNA from 1 species
GUCUUGAUUCUAGUGAGGUCAUAGUGUAGAGGGUAAGGUCAUAAUGGCAAUGUGCCUCCAAACCUUGAUAGAGGCCAAGACUACCAGCCACUUAGGAAUUCUUCUGCUUGGGUCAGGCUUGGUGGUGCAUGCCUGUAAUCCCAGCACUUUGGGAGGCCGAGGCUAGAGGAUUGCUUGAGCUUAGGAGUUUGAGAUCAGCCUGGGCAACGUGGUGAGACCCCAUGUAUACACAAAGAGAAAAAAAAAGAAGUUCUCCUGCUUGUAGCUUAGGCUAUUCAUUUUUAGAAGAGUUUACAGCACAUUUUUCACUGCAUAGACAGCUGUGUACUUGAAGAAUGUAAACAUGAAGAAAACACUGAGUUCAAUAAAUGUGUCUUCUAUGUGCCAGGUCCUGUGGUAUUUGUAAGGGAUAGAAACUUGUCUUUCAGGAUCUUGAAAUCAGGAUCAUAGGGCUAGACACAACAAUAAAGAGAAUUUUUUUGGAGUCCAUUCAAUAAUAGUAAGUUUAAAGUAUGGAAAUAUUACCGAGGAGGGAAUGUUUGACUUCAGGAACAGGUCAGAGAACGCUUCACAGAUAUGCUAGCACCUGAGCAGGAUUUUGAGGAAUAAAUGGAAGUUUUCAGUGGAAGAGAUAGAUGGCAUUGUAGAUAAAAGAGAACAGCAUAGUUAAAGAUAUGAACAAGUAAACUGUGUGUUCAAGAAAUUUCAAGUUGUUUUUUCUUGGAGUACAUGCAAAAUCUGAAGAAAGAGGGUUGCUAGAGAAAGCCCUAACGCAUGCUAUUACAUUUAAUAAGUCAAAUAGUUGGCUUUUUGGGUAUGAAGUAUAUGUAAAAUAGAGACUGUUAUAUUUUUGACACUGCUGCCAUCUUUUUUUUUUCUUUUUCUUUUUUGACAAAGAGUCUCAGGCUGUCACCCAAGGUGUAGUGCAGUGGCACAAUCACUGCUCACUACAGCCUCGACCCCCAGGCUCAGGUGAUCCUCCCACCUUAGCCUCUCAAGUAGCUGGGACCACAGUCGUGCACCGCUAUGCCUGCUAACUGUUGUACAUUUUGUAGAGAAGGGGUUUUGCCAUGUUUCCCUGGCUGAUCUUGAACUCCCGGGCUCAAGC